ensembl:lncRNA
CACAGAACACAGAGGACUUUUAGGGCAGUGAAACUACUCUGUAUGAUACUAUAGUAAUGGAUACAGGCCAUUGUACUUUUGUUCAAACCUAUAGAAUGCCCAAGACCGAGAAAUGAACCCUAUGUAAACUAUGGCCUUGGGGUGAUGAUUAUGUGUCAGGGUAGAUUCAUCACUUGUAACAAACGUAACACUCUGGAGGGGAUGUUGAUAAUGAAAUAGAAGCUGUGCCUGGGUGGGGUUAGGAGGUGAGGUAUAUGGGAAAUCUCUGCCCCUUCCUCUCAAUUUUGCUGUAAAAUAAAACUGCACUGAAAAAAAUUAAGUCUUAAAACACACAAAACAAAACAAAACAAAACAAAACAAAACAAAACCUUUUUAUACUACAUGGAUGUUUAAUUUUAUCAAAUACAUAUUGCAAUCUUACAGUUUUUCUCCUUCAAAUAUGUAAUGGAGUCAAUUACAUGAAUAGGUUAAUCACUCUUUUCAAUUACAUCUUUUUGCUGCCAUCUGUUUCCUGCCACAUCUAAAUAAUUCUCUAGUGCUUUCAUGAGUCAAAUCUGCUAUUCACUGUGUUUUGAAUUCUUCCCAAAUGUUCCUCCCUCCCUCCCAAUUUCUUUCAUCUUUUCCUGGCCUUAGGUUCCCAUCUUUCUAUCUCUUAAGAGCUGGUUUUCUUCAGUGUGGAGUUAUGUUUACAGAGUGUAUUUGUAAGUCCUGAAGGGUUAAUGAGGUAAUUGGUGAAACAUCAGCUAUGUUCUGGUCUCAAGGGUGUCGAAUGAGAUAGCACUAUGAGGACAGAGCCCCAUGAUCCCCUAAAGGAUACUUUAGAUACAACACUUGCUGUACCUCCCUGACAUUCCUUGAAACCAUAAGCACUCCCUUCAUGCCUUCAUGUAGCCACCAGAUGUAUGUCUGGCUAAUGUCUAAAGACCCUUUGUGCUCUCCUUGCUUUGAUGUUCUUUGAUACUUCUAUCUAAAUAAAAACUGUGUGCAGUCUGCUGCGGCUGCUGCUGUUCUUGCUGGCAGAGAGAGCACUGCACGUACGCUCAGCCUAAGUAUCUGAGAAUUUUUUCUUCAGAGUGCAGCAACAAGUGGCGCCUGAAAGGGACCAAGAGAAUCUACUGGCUCCAGGCUGUGUACCUCACCUCUCAAGCCCAAAAACAGAAAAGGACAUCUGUGCAUUCAGUUAUCAACAUGAUGGUGUCUCUUUGCUCCCGUAACAAGUCAUCCAAGGUAUACUUCACCAAUACCCAGAUGCUCACCACUUCUGUGACAACGCCUUUUCCUGCUAAUAAAAAGAUAAAAGGGGGUAGAUGGUGAGUUAUUUUUAGAGAGUGUAUUUGUAAGUCCUGAAGGGUGAAUGAGGUAAUUGCUGAAACAUCAGCUAUGUUCUGGUCUCAAGGCUGUCGAAUGAGAUAGCACUAUGAGGACAGAGCCCCAUGAUCCCCUAAAGGAUACUUUAGAUACAACACCUGCUGUACCUCCCUGACAUUCCUUGAAACCACAAGCACUCCCUUCAUGCCUUCGUGUAGCCACCAGAUGUAUGUCUGGCUAAUGUCUAAAGACCCUUUGUGCUCUCUUUCCUUGCUUUGAUAUUCUUUGAUACUUCUAUCUAAAUAAAAACUAUGUGCAGUCUGCUGCUGCUGUUCUCUCUGGCAGAGACAACCUUGUAUGUCUUCUCAGUCUAAGUGUCUGAGAACUUUUUCUUCAGUGCGUGGCUACCU